rnacentral:lncRNA from 12 species
AGCAGGUUGACCGUCCCAUGGGCCUGGGACUCGUGGGUGAUGCCAUACUGGAAGAAGAACAUCAGAGAAAAGAAGGAUGGACCGUAACUCUAGUGCAUGAUUUUCCCAGCUGGAGAAAACUCAGCCCUCUUGGAACCAGCUGUACAUAAAACCAUUUGCCUUAGUGAUGCAAGUUAAAAAUAGUAGUAAUUGCCAGCUCCCUGAGUGUGGCCAAUUAUUACCAUUAUUAUAAUUGGACUGGAAAUUAACCCACUGUAUGGAAGCCACAACAUAUCCAAACUUGUUUUAGGCCAGCUGGUGCAGAAAUGCUAGCGUUAGCGUGGUUGGUGUGUUCUUGGAAGAACUAAAAGAAGAGGUGGGAGGUGGGGGGAACAAGGCCAGCUGCAGCCCCUGUUUCUCUCAAGCCUCUGCAGCAGAUCUGAAACCCAAAGCAACGAGAACCUGUGCCGUGGGGCUGAUUGGCUUUGCCCCUCCUGGUGAAGCUGCUGCCAGCCUGACAAACCACCCAUGUUCACCUGUUCUCUGGGAGGCAUGGGUGCAUGGCCAGGAGCGUGAGGCCCGCGUGUUCGAGAGGGUCUGAGGAGGACUGGGAUCUCUGAGAACCCUAAACUAAUUGAAAUUCUGAGCUUCACAUAGAAGGUGGCAGACACUGAGGAUGUCCACCUCUGUCCCCCAGCACUCCACGCGCUGACUGACGCACUGACGAUGCAGGAUCCUUUGAUUCAGCUUAGUUGGCAGCUGCUCUUCCCCCAAAUACUUGAAGAACUUCCAAUGCGGCAUCUGGGUUGAGGCCAGGACUGGGGGCUGGGAGGCGGCCCCCCAGCUCCCUGCUGUGCCAGACCAGGCCCGCGGCCCACAGGCGGCCUCCCCGUGGGACCGGCGGCCCAGGCGACGCGCAGGGUGGCCCUGGAGGCCUUUCCUGCCGACAGCAACCGCAGCCCUUCUAGGCUUCUCUGCCGGGGGACAGGGGGCCAAAUAGGACUUCAGCUGGAAUCCAUGGUGCAGAGUUGGGGCUUUCUCAUGGGGACACUGAAACACCCUUUUCAUAAAAUGGGACUCUUGCUGCCCACCUCCCUUUCAGGUGAGUUUGCUUCCAUUUUGUGAUAAGUCAAGUCAGGUAAUAGAUAAUCCAUUUCUCCAGUGCCUAAAGCUCAUGUGCUCCCUGAACACAAAGCUUGCAUUCAGCCCCUGUGUCUCCUUUCAGUAGGCUCAGCUUCUCUUAAUUGAAGCCAACUGAACUUUGUGAAAAUGCACUUAGGGCUACUCACAUUUAAAUUUCCAACUUUUUUUUCUCCUUGGUAUUUUGUUUCUAUUUUUUAUGCUCAUUUUUCUUUUUGUAUUUUUUGUAGCUUUGUAAGCCAUCUGCCAUCCUUUCUGGAAUGAGAUGGCAUAUAAAUACCUACAUAGAGUGCACACAUAAAAUGUAUACUGAUAUUUGAGAAAGACAUCUCAAAUACAAAUGCAUCCUUCUAGGUCGUUGGUAUUCAAGACAGUGAGGGGGACAGGAGGGAAAAGAGAGCUGUAUUUUCCAAAAUAUAUGUGCUAGUAUUCUUUCUGAUUCUUCUUUACCCCUACCUACUCUCAGGGACCCAGGUAAUAUUAGAAUCUUGGUGGA